GCCCCGCCCCGCCCCGCGCGCCCGCGGCUGCCUCCCGCUGGUGACGUCAGCGCCCGCGGCUUCUUCGCCUUCUUGGCGGGAUCUGCGUUUCUUUAGUUUCUUUGUUAGUCCUUUGUUUGGUCACUGAUGUUCAGGGACGUGUGUGUGCCAGGCAUUGGGGGUACAGCGGUCCCCUGGGCACGUGACCCCUUACCCCCCAGGAGUCCAGAGCUGGGAAAGCGGGUGAAGUUGCAGCCCGUUCCGCCGCACGCCUGGAAGCUUCGCAUGUCCGGGGCUGCGUGGCCCCCAAGGCUACGGUCCUAGUGAAAUAAGAACAGAAGUGGCAGGAGUGACUCCAGGCAGAAGAUUCAAGAGCCAGGACCUGGUUCUUUGAGAUGGUGGAAGCGUGACAAGAUGGAUUCGCACCAGCAAACGCUGGCGAUGUCCCCGUAGGUGAGCCACUGCCUUUCAGGUUGUUACUGUAGCAUAGAGCAGUCUUCCCUGAUCCGGGCAGCCUCUGCGCUAUUUACCAUUUGCUCUGACCCUUCCCCAUAGCAUUCAGUGCCAUCUUUCUAGAAAGGCACCUGAGGAGGUGAUAUCAUUCCCCAUCCCACCCCUUACUAGCUUGGACACUAGACUAACCUGAGACUCCCGUUUCCCUACGUGUAAUUUGAGGAUGCUAGUAGUGUCCACCUUACAGAGAAGUAUUCUGAGGACUGAGUGGCCUAAAUACUGGUAAUUGUCCCCGCUGAUACUAGAGGUAGUGCUGUCACGAUGCCCUGGGUAAGCUGGUCCCCGCCCCACAUCUUGCACCAUCCUCCUGAGUCUGCGUGCUGUCUUUCAGUACCAUGCUCCUAGCUCUUGGCUCCCAGGUUGGUCCUAAAAUGUGGUAUGCAUUCACUUCCCUUCAUCUGCCUCAGUUCCUCAGGAAAGUCCCAGAGCUGCUGGCUGUCGUGUGGUCCUAUAAUAUGCCCACCACCUCUCCUGUCCUUCGAGGCUAUAACCACAUUUCUGUUUGUGAGUUAGUGUUUUCUCGCUAGGUGGUAGGCUCCAUGAGAGAGGUGACUGUCUCUUUUUGGCUCUUGCUGUGUGCUCACCUUCUGACUUGUUACCUCAGUGGUAAGCAGAGGGCCUCCAAAGAUGUCCCCGCUCCAAUCCCUGGAAUAUGUGAAUAUGUUACGUUACGUGACAAAAGGCACUACACGGGUGUAAUUAAGAAUUACAGACCUUAAGAUAGGGGGAUCAUCAUGGAUUAUCUGGGUGGUCCCAGUGUAAUCACACAAGCCCUUAAAAGGAGAGAAUUUUCUCCACUAGACUCGGUGAGAUGCGGCAGAAGGAAAAGUCAGACUUGAAGCAGGAGGAGGACUCAAUGUGCCAUCAUUACUGGCUCUGAAGAUAAAGGGGGCCAGGAGCCUCAGUCGUACAACCACAAGGAACUGAAUUCUGCUAACAACCUUAAUGAACUUGGAGGUGGGUUCUUCCCUAGUUGACUUAGAGACGCUUUGACUUUGGCUGUGCAAGAGCCUAAGCGGAAGACUCAGUCACUUGGUGCUGGACUUCUGACCCAAAGAAACUGUGAGAUAAUAAAUCGGUUUUGUUUUAAGCUGCUAAA